ACGCUGGCGGCAGGCCUAACACAUGCAAGUCGAGCGGAAACGAAGAGGUGCUUGCACCUCUGGCGUCGAGCGGCGGACGGGUGAGUAAUGCUUGGGAAUAUGCCUUAUGGUGGGGGACAACAGUUGGAAACGACUGCUAAUACCGCAUGAUGUCUACGGACCAAAGUGGGGGACCUUCGGGCCUCACGCCAUAAGAUUAGCCCAAGUGGGAUUAGCUAGUUGGUGAGGUAAUGGCUCACCAAGGCAACGAUCCCUAGCUGGUUUGAGAGGAUGAUCAUCCACACUGGGACUGAGACACGGCCCAGACUCCUACGGGAGGCAGCAGUGGGGAAUAUUGCACAAUGGGCGCAAGCCUGAUGCAGCCAUGCCGCGUGUGUGAAGAAAGCCUUCCGGUUGUAAAGCACUUUCAGUAAGGAGGAAAGGUUAGGUGUUAAU
rnacentral:rRNA from 1 species